GUCUCCAUCGUCUAGCGGUUAGGACAACGGGUUUUCAUCCCGUCAACAGCAGUUCGAUUCUGCUUGGAGAUG
rnacentral:tRNA from 1 species